AUGACUAUAAGAAGAGAAGGCACUAACCUAUUUGAAUCUGUACCGUCUCCUCUCCCCUAGCUUCAUUUCUCCCUUGGAUGUUUAUUCUUGAAGACAUGGAGGUCUCCAAGAUCAAGAUGCCAGGCUUGUGCUUGCUGCUGCUCAUGCCACUCCUGUUGCUUCCUGGAUCUGAAGCAGGCGAUUAUUGCAAGUGGUUCAGCAAGACCUACACUACUUUUCACUGUGCGGACAACCCAUGCGCUGAGCACUGCCGCAACGAGGGCUUCCCUCGUGGGUGGUGUGAGUUCGUCGCCUUAGAACCUCUCGCCUUAGUCUGCUUCUGCAGGAAACCCUGCUGAUGAUGCUUGUGAAGUAAUAAUACUGUUGUGUGUUUAUAAGGAAGUGUACAUGUGAACUUCUAUGUCGUAUUUGCCGUGAAGAGCAGAUCAGUAUAAUAAAGGUGAAGUUGCAAUA